rfam:Hordeum vulgare subsp. vulgare, WGS project CAJW01000000 data, contig: morex_contig_43945
UAAAUACUCCCUCCGUCUCAAAAUUCUUGUCUUAGAUUUGUUUUAAAAUGGAUGUAUCUAAAUACUAAAAUGUGACCAGAUACAUUCAUAUAUAGAUAAUUCUUAAACAAGAAUUUUGGGAUGGAGGAAGUACAAG